GCGGCGCGAUCGCCGCUAGCGCCGCCUCAUCGCCGGCCGGGCGGGUGGCGCGGUGCGGGGCGGGGGGCGCCGCUCGCUGCCCGCCGGCUGCCGCCUCCUCCUCCUCCUCCUCCUUCUCCUCCCUCCUCCUCCUUCUCCGGCCGCCCGGCGCUGUGUCGGGGCGAGGAGGAGGCGCCACACUCGCGGCCCGCUCCGCACGUACGCCACUUCCAGCCCCACAGCGCCGCGGGCGCGUCAGGCGGGCGGGGCCGCGGCGGCCGGGCGGGCGGAGCCGGGCAGGGCGGGGGAGCCCGGCUCUGAGGAGGGGGGAUUUAGGACGGGAGGGGGUUGUCGCUGAUCUCUGCCCCAAAGUGUCCCCGCCUGGUGCCCGCCACGACGCCUCCCGGGCGGCUGGGGUGGCCGUGGUGCCCCUCAGAGGCAGCCGGUGAGCAGCCCAGGCGCGCUCCUUCCAUGGGUUUGCCGGGGGGAGAGGCAGCAGCCCUCGGCUGGUGCACACCGCCUUUCUGGUCAGAAAUCCAUCCUAAAAUCCAAAAAGAGUCAAAGAAAUGAGCAAUAUCUAGAUUCGGAGGGAGAAAGGUGAGGUUAGCCGUCUGGUUGGUAACCCAAGAUGAGUGGCUUGGGCUUUCUACCUCUACGUUGCCACAGGCUUUCAUGUGACUUAGGACAAAUCCAUUCUUCUUCACCUCUCAAACAGAAAUACCAACACUUUCCCUCCUCACAGGCUGUCGUGAGGCCUAAGACUGUAAUACAGUCCUGUAAGAUGGCUACAUUCACGCUAUCGAUAAGGCUCGUUCUCACCGUCUCUCUAUAGAGAACCAGGUUUAAAAUGAGCUGAUGUAUCAGUAGGCCUUAGAGGGGCGUUGGACACUGCGUGUGCUACGUGAAGGAUGUCAAAGCAGAAGCAAAGUGUGCCAAGGCUACAAAUGCCUGUGGUACACACACAGAAAAAGGGAAGGAAAAACAGGGUGAAUUAUGAGGAAGGCAAAAGGAGGACUGAGAGGACAAGGUCGUGUCAUGGCCAUGAAAUCUCCUGAAUGCGAUCAGCAAGUGCCAAGGCUGAAGUUAAAAUAAAGAAAAGCUGAAAGAACUGGAAAAGCUGGGAACUGAAAACAGAGUCACAGAGCCGGAAAGGGUUCAUCCAGUCGUGCUGAUGCGGAGCACGUAGGGUGCUGCCUGGCUCUGACCCCUGCAGAAGAGCACACCUGGUUUCCUUCUGUGACAGCUGGGACACGUCAAGGCGCUCUGUGGCCAGCCCAGGCUCUGAUACACCGAGGGCUCGAUGCUCUGCUCUUGCAGACACGUCUUCUAGCUCGGAACAAGGGGCUCGGAGGUAAAGAAAGUCUCUUCGGUGUUUCAGAGGGCCACAGCCAUUACAUGACCUUUUUACUGUGCAGCUGAUCUGUGCUUCCUGGCCCCGUGUCAUCACGGCUCAGCAUCGUGACAUGCUGAAAGAUCAUCACGGUGGAAACAAUGCAGAGCAGCAUUUGGAUGGUGUGGCGGCCUGCCCUGCUUAUUUUGUGUGUGUACCUGAUUUAUUGCACAUCAUAUUUUCUCUUUCCUCCUCUUCCAGCUGCCAGGCACGUAGUUCUCUCUUCUGCCAGUGCCUUGCCUUGUACUUGGAAAAGGGAACAGGGACGCCCUGGGGUGUGGGCAAGAAGGGCAGUUGGCUUUGUGCACCUGGGGAGACCCAGGGAGCCUCAGCUCGUGGGUUACGAUAUAUCCUGCUAUUACAGUCUCCAUGUUUUUCUCCAGAUUGCCUAGAAACUAUUAUCCAGAGCACAACAGAGGACCUCAAGAACUGUCCCUGGAGCUACAAAGAUGUGUUUUAUUAAAGGACUGGACAUUUUAUCUCUGUGUGGAGAUGCAGGUUCUUUUCCCUUUCUCCAGCUGGCUAGCACAAUUUUUGAUAUCCUCGAUGUCUUUUUCUUGUGAAGGCAGUUGUACUAGCAAGAGAGAUUCCAAGAAAAAGCUUAGGACACUUGCUGCUCUGAGAGGAGAAACCUGCCUCGGCAAUUUAAGAGAGGAAGGAAAAGACAAUAGUGAGGGAGUUCUUGAACUGAUAACGCCGACUAUUGAGGUGUUAUUCCUCAACAGACUUUGGGUUCUGAUUUUUUUUUUUUUAUGAGGCAAUUUAGUGAGAAGAACGGGGACAAGCUUCAUUUUUGUUUGUUUUCUAAGUGAACAAUGGUGUCCUCCCCCUUGUCUCGAACAAUGGGAAUAUGAUAUAAUAGUUGAUGUUUUGUUAGAACUAUCAGGCUUGCACAUCUGUCCUGAAGAGCUCACCUUUGCCAGGGCUGCCUACAUACGUGUUCACGUGCAUGAGCAUUGCGAGCCUAAACCAUAAAGUGUCCUCCCAGUGUAGGUGAACUCAGCACAGCUCAGACUUUGUUCUCCUGCACUCCAUUUCCCCUUGUCCCAGGACUGCCUGGGGCCUCUCUGAUGCAUUGGCAGGAUGUCCUAUUGCUCUCCCACAUUGCCCUCCUCGCUGUCCCCCCUAUCCCAAGGGCUUACUGAUGCCUUUUCUUGCUUUCCACCCUUUCCAAAGACACAGACUUGCCAUUCCAUUUGCUGUCAGUGCUCCUCCUGUGCCCUCCUGCAACAUCGUCUUUAGUUUGGGCAAAUUUAAGUCAUGGUGUUGAGCAGCUGCCCACCAAAAGAGGCUGCUUCCAGCAGCAUCUUCCUUCACCCUGCCUUACUUUAGCACCACGCUUGUCUAGCCCUUUGGUGAGUCAGUUCAAGAGAAUAGUUUUCUGUUGGAUUAACAAGUUGGAUCGGCUUACCGUGUGGUUUGAUGUGGUGCAAGAGAGGGUGUGGACCAGCAGGGCCAGGAGUCAGGGAGGGAAAAGCAGGACCACCCAAGUCAGAACAGUAAGCUGACUCAGCCGUGUCAUGAAACUUCACCCUUAUUUACUUCGUAUUAUAUAACUUGACCCAUUUCCACUCCGUCCCUAACAGAGGGAAGGCUUUCCAAGUGACCUGUUCGAACUGUAUGGAGAGAAUCAGCGGGCCCAAAUUGCAGGGUGUUGUGAUAUACUAGGACAUGGCAAUGGCUGGCAUUGGCCCAUUUGUCUGUCUGAGGAUGUGGGGAGAGGUGCCUUGUGCUUUUGGCUCUGUGAACAGCGUGCCAAGGACUUUUACAGGUCAUUUUACAGGUUAUCCUUCAGAUUUUAGCAGUUGAGAGGUUCUGUCUGUUGAUUAAAAUAGUUCUUAAGAUUUUAGAACUGAACAAAUAUGGUAUUAAAAAUUGUGAUCCUGAUAAAUACUGAAUACGUUGGUGCUUCGACAUCUCCUUGUCUCCUCUGCUAACAAGCACAACCCUCGGUGCACAUACUCCAAGUCCAAUAUCAAGGUAGGAAAUUUCAACAUGUUUUAAAGUACUUCCCGAGCAACUUAACUUAUACCAAGAACAGAUAUUUACUAAAACAAGAGUACAGUGGAUGUGUAGUAAUUUAAAUUCAUAUAUUUCUAUGAACAUUUGUUGCUCUCCCCCUGCAUGAUCUAAAUUGGCACUAUUCAUUUAAUCUCUGUCAAUGGUCAUGGUGCUGUUAGUGACUAGGAAAACAUGACGUUGAAAUUGUGUGUAUUUAUACAAAGUGCUACCUAAAUACCAGGUCCCGGAACAUUAAACUUAACAGGAGUUCCUGCAAACACACGGCUGAAUAUGAAUUAUUAACAUCUUGGGUUUUCUCUUGGAGCAGUAGUGUGUGUUACAGAGCUGUAAUUAGGGCUGGGGCGCGUCUGAGCCUUUCUAUCACGCUGCAUUGUUUUGUCACUGCCAGAAGUAUUACCCCUGAACCUGUUCCUUGCUCACCCAGCUAGCUAAUUAGUGACCUGGAGAUAAGGUGGCAUUUAUUGGUAGUAGAAGAAAUGGCCUUUUAUUUUUAUGCAGAAGCUAAAAACAGGUCAGCAAGCAAUUUGCACAUUCUUCAUCCACCCACAGCGCAAUGGAAGACGAUAAUGCUUAUCUUUGCAGGGGGCAGGUUUCACUUUUUUCCUUACUGUUUUAUCAGGCUUACGUUUUCUCCCUGGCAUUAUUCUUUCUUCUGGUUGUUGGGUUGGUUUAUAUUUUAAGUUUGUUUUGCUUUGUUUUUAAUUUCAGGCUACGUCCAGUGCUAGGGCCUCGUUUAGGAGUUUUCAUUAAAUGAGAUUCCUAGAAGGGUUCCUCUGAUUACAGUUUCCUCGCUCUAGGAUAUAGAUGGAGAUUGGACUGGAGGGAACAGGCAAAGAAUAGAUAGCAACUAUCCUCACCUAUUUACCAAAUCGUAAGCAUUGUCAAAAUUUGGGUGGGAGGCAAAACUCCUCCCUUGUGCAAACAGAGCCUCCAAUAAAAGCCACGUGCUGUGGGCAGGAGUAGUUAAGGGCUUUCAUUUUCAUUUUUUCUUUUAAACAAACAGCAACUUAUCAAUGUGGGAGGCCAAACGUGGCCAGCUCAUAUACACACAAAGGCUUGUGUGUCUGUGGAUAUGCCUGCUCUGCACAUCCAGCCUGCUCCUCACCUUAUUUUAACUAGGGUGACCAUUUCUCCCCUAUUUUAAGCAAUAUUCCUCAUUUCAUAUGUCACGAGUAAAAGAAACGCUAAAUCAUAUCUUUGUAGAGCAACAUUCUGCACUGCAUUUUUUUUUAAUUGAACUUUAUAUUUGAUUUAAAAAUAUCAGCCUCAAGAGACUGAAUCUUUUUCAGAAAAAGCUACAGCAGGAAGCUAAAAAUUCUCGCUCUAUAUUAUCUUAAGACAGCACUGAAUCACAGACCUAAAAUAAAAAUUAAUUGCAAAUGUGGGGUCGUGUUAGAGGGUACGAUUUUGCAUUUGUGAUCCAGAUAUGGAAGAGGCAUGUAAGGAAGAAAACGUCUUUGAAGGUUCAUAAAUGCCAAUGCGUAACACCGAAUGCUUGCCUCAUGCACUGAAUAUUUCACUGCAGAGGUCUAGCGAAUGCUCCUUGCAGGGCAAAGCUGUGAAGCAAGGUAGCAAACUAGUUUCCCUUGGUCAGCCUUCAGCACAGCCAGACGGGAGCCCUUCCAGAACGCUCUCUGGAAACACUCAUCUAGCCUCAUCAGCGGUCUAUAAAUAGAGGAGGUCUUCAUCCCCAAGGAGGUUUUGCAACGCCGUGCCGCGGCUCAGCACUGCGCUCCCAUGGAGGCAGCAGACGGGGUGUUACAGAGCCAUGUGGUGGAACUGGCGCCGGGAGCAGGCCCUCUUUGUGUCAAAGAUGAGGUCUGCUGGCAGGUGGGGAGGAGAACUGGGAAUCAUUGGGAUCGGAAGGCUCUUCCCAAAAGCCUUCCAAAAAGGAGAGAAAUUCCCUUAGGUCCUACACAGAAGCUGCUGCGCCGAUGAUUUCUCCCUGUGUGAACCUUCUUGGUACUGAAGGCAAUUUUACACCAUGGGCAUAGGUAGGGCAAGACUGGCUUGUCCCAUGCAGGGGGAGUUCAGAACCAGCAGUUCCUUUCCUCUCAUACGGAUCCAGUGGUCAAGAAGCCCUCCUGAAGAGGAGAAGGCAUCUUUCACUAUUCAGAAUAAACAGAGGAGUGCUUUCACUGGGAUCAAUGAAAAUAGCAAUAAAUGCUGCAAGAGUUAUGUAGCAUUCCCUACUGCGUUAAUUACCAUGUAGAAUUUUUUUAAUUGCUCAGAUGGACUGUCACGUGUGUGUGAUAAUACUGCGACAGGCUAACCACAAAUGUAACUCUAGAGUAAGUUCUAAGAGCAAAACACUUCAAGCUUUGUGUCUAAAAAAUAUGUAAAUAUCAAAAGCUACCAGCUGACUGCUACAGAAACAAGAAAAAAAAAAAGUCCUACCCCUUUUCAUCGACAUAGGUUUCUUUACUGGGACAGCAGGUUAAAAAGUGUUGUCUUACACAAGUUAGUCACACUACGUCUUUCAAGAUUUAUCUACAGCUUCAAUGGGGACAAAAAUUGGUUGGGGUCAAGCUUCACGUAGUAUUUGCAAAAGAAGUAACUUUAAAAAUGUGAUUGAAAAAUAGAACUUGAGUCUGACUUCUGACACCUCUGCAUCAUGGAAAUAUCAAUAUCUCUGUUAUGCAAUUGAAAGAGGAAUUCUCUAUUAUCUGUUUAAUUAUGUGGGGGGAAAAUCUGAAAAUAUACAUGUAGGAAAGAGGGUUGACUUUGAGAAAAUGCAUGUUUUGGAACCAACAUCGCUAAUUUGGGAGACAAUGUGCUGGCUACAGAAGAAUGAAAAAUGAAAAAUCAUUUGCCUGCUCGCAGACUGCAUAUUGAGCAAAUUGGGCUGUAGGUAAAUUAGUAUUUGAGCCCAAAAACCUUUGAUCCACAAUCUUUAAACCUUUUUCUUCCUGCCAGCAGUGUCAGCGUUAAAGGAAAUCUUUAUUCUGUUGUUAUAAAAUUUAAAUGGUAAUGUAGGAGCACUGAGCCAUUGCCCUGCAAGAUUGUCAUCCUUCUGCCUUCCUCAGAGCAUCAUCCAGAUACAGCUUCUCUACAGGCAUGGGAGAUGUGCUGUCUGUGUGAGAACUGUACUUCUCUCGGUGUGCUAAGGUUUUAUGGUGGAGUUUUGAGAGCAGAACCAUCUGAUCUUACAUGUGCUGGAGUAUAUGAUGUGUACUAAUUAAAUGGUAAAUCACAAAGGGAAAAAAACAACUGAUCACAGAAAACUUGGUCAUGUCUGUGGCUUUUAAAUACACCACGGUAAAACAUAAAAAAGUGGAAGAGAUUUCAUGCAGUAGUGUGCAUGAGCUCCAAACCCAUUCCCUUUGCCUUUUGAUUCCAGCGAGCAAAACGACCCUAGCCUGCUUACUUGAAGCUAGGCUGCUUUUUCUGGGAACACUUGGCACUGCUGAAGGCCUACAUCUUAACAAACGUCUGGAUUAUGCGUACUGAGGGGUUCGGGUGAGCCCACGCGUCUUGUGAGAGGAGGUGUUCCAGGACACAGCCUCUGAGUCCCGGUUUUCUGCCUUUCUCAAGAUGUGUGGUUCCUUGUCUGCUGGGAUCUCAGAUGCCAGAGUGGGAAGAGUUUACAUAAACAAACCUGCUUACAUGCACAGAAGAGCAGUCGCCCUCAGGUUGGUGUAAUCCCUCCGAGCAGCUUCACAGCAACCUUAAGGCUGUACUUUUUAAGCGGUGCACACGUAGCUGCCAUGUGCACCGUGCGUGGUUGUCAGAAUAUUUUGUUACUGCUUUGCUCAGCGCUGCAGCGUGCUGCUCAGAAGUUUGUCUGGCUGCACACUCUGUCGUCGGGAGAGUGCCUGAGAAGGAAGGGAGCGGCCAGGACUUGCUUCCAAGUGGUUUAUUGACUAUUAAACUCUUAUGGCCAGAUAAAAGCAACAGCAAAUAACCUGAUACGUGUGUUACAGCAGCGCACCGGCUCACCGGCUCCCUCCCUGCAUCGUAUUUCCUAUCUAGGUCACCGUGCAGCGCGAGGCUGUUGGUUCACCAGAUAAUGUUUCCUCGCGGCGACCCAGACGCAGCCACGACAGGCACAUUUUUGGUCUGUUUAUGCAAACCACCGGUGUCCUGAGCCUGUUCCUGGCACGUAUUUCACCUUCUUCCUUGCUGGUUCAGUGCCUGGUACAGCUUGCCCAGCCUUACGGAUGGAGUUGGCUACGCUGACACCUAAACAGCUCCGGAGAUCGAGCCGUCCUUGCCUGUCAAACAGAAAUUCCAUCACUGUCCUGCAACUGCUGUGUAAUUAAAUCUUCUCCUGCUUAGCAUA